AAGGUACGGGUUGUUUUCUGUUUUAGGGUCCAUCCCUGACCCAAUCAGAUACUGAAUUGUCUUCUCAAUCUGCUUCAUAUCCACUCUUCCAGAGAGGUAGAGAUACUUGUUGAGAAGGUCACCAUGCCUAUUCUCUUCUGCAGUCCAUGCCCUUGUCCAAAUUGCCCAAGAAGUAAGGCUUGCACCAGUCUCAUCUCGAACUCCAUCUAGGGUGUUAAGCAUUGUCUGGUAGGUUGGAAGGGCUUCUUCAGUGAUCAUAU
rnacentral:misc_RNA from 1 species